rnacentral:rRNA from 1 species
AACGAACGCUGGCGGCAUGCCUAACACAUGCAAGUCGAACGAGACCUUCGGGUCUAGUGGCGCACGUGUGCGUAACGCGUGGGAACCUGCCCUUAGGUUCGGAAUAACUCCCCGAAAGGGGUGCUAAUACCGGAUAAUGUCUUCGGACCAAAGAUUUAUCGCCUUUGGAUGGGCCCGCGUUGGAUUAGCUAGUUGGUAGGGUAAAAGCCUACCAAGGCGACGAUCCAUAGCUGGUCUGAGAGGAUGAUCAGCCACACUGGGACUGAGACACGGCCCAGACUCCUACGGGAGGCAGCAGUGGGGAAUAUUGGACGAUGGGGGAAAGCCUGAUCAAGCAAUGCCGCGUGAGUGAUGAAGGCCUUAGGGUUGUAAAGCUCUUUUACCCGGGAUGAUAAUGACAGUACCGGGAGAAUAAGCUCCGGCUAACUCCGUG